GGUAUUGUUCCGCCGUUAUCGGGCUACUGCAAUAGUUGCCAACGACAACUUUGCUCCGGUUGCUCAGGCUGCGUAACGCAGUUUGAAAGACCACCUUAAAGUCCUAACGGGUUAAGCUCCGUUAGGCGGGGUUCGGAGGCACCUGGCAACAGAAGCCUCCACU
rnacentral:tmRNA from 1 species